AACAGUAAGAGUUUAUGUGCUGA
rnacentral:miRNA from 1 species